UACGUAGGGCGCGAGCGUUGUCCGGAAUUAUUGGGCGUAAAGAGCUCGUAGGUGGCUUGUCGCGUCUGCCGUGAAAGGCCUGGGCUUAACCCGGGUUCUGCGGUGGAUACGGGCUGGCUAGAGGUAGGUAGGGGAGAACGGAAUUCCUGGUGUAGCGGUGAAAUGCGCAGAUAUCAGGAGGAACACCGGUGGCGAAGGCGGUUCUCUGGGCCUUACCUGACGCUGAGGAGCGAAAGCGUGGGGAGCGAACAGG
rnacentral:rRNA from 1 species